rnacentral:rRNA from 1 species
GACGAACGCUGGCGGCGUGCUUAACACAUGCAAGUCGAACGGAAGGGCCCCUUUGGGGGUACUCGAGUGGCGAACGGGUGAGUAACACGUGAGUAACCUGCCCCUGACUUCGGGAUAACUUCAGGAAACUGGGGCUAAUACCGGAUAGGAAUCCUUGCUGCAUGGUGGGGGUUGGAAAGUUGCGGCGGUUUUGGAUGGACUCGCGGCUUAUCAGCUUGUUGGUGGGGUAGUGGCUUACCAAGGCUUUGACGGGUAGCAGGCCUGAGAGAGCGACCGGCCACAUUGGGACUGAGAUACGGCCCAGACUCCUACGGGAGGCAGCAGUGGGGAAUAUUGCACGAUGGGCGGAAGCCUGAUGCAGCAACGCCGCGUGCGGGAUGACGGCCUUCGGGUUGUAAACCGCUUUCAGCAGGGGCGAAGCUUGUGGUGACGGUACCUGCAGAAGAAACACCGGCUAACUACGUG